rnacentral:rRNA from 1 species
UAGGGAAUCUUCCGCAAUGGGCGAAAGCCUGACGGAGCAACGCCGCGUGAGUGAUGAAGGUCUUCGGAUCGUAAAACUCUGUUAUUAGGGAAGAACAAAUGCGUAAGUAACUAUGCAUGUCUUGACGGUACCUAAUCAGAAAGCCACGGCUAACUACGUGCCAGCAGCCGCGGUAAUACGUAGGUGGCAAGCGUUAUCCGGAAUUAUUGGGCGUAAAGCGCGCGUAGGCGGUUUUUUAAGUCUGAUGUGAAAGCCCACGGCUCAACCGUGGAGUGUCAUUGGAAACUGGAAAACUUGAGUGCAGGAGAGGAAGGUGGAAUUCCAUGUGUAGCGGUGAAAUGCGCAGAGAUAUGGAGGAACACCAGUGGCGAAGGCGACUUUCUGGUCUGAAACUGACGCUGAUGUGCGAAAGCGUGGGGAGCAAACAGG